UACGUAGGGGGCUAGCGUUGUCCGGAAUCAUUGGGCGUAAAGAGCGUGUAGGCGGCCAGGUAGGUCCGUUGUGAAAACUCGAGGCUCAACCUCGAGAUGUCGGCGGAAACCAUCUGGCUAGAGUCCGGAAGAGGAGAGUGGAAUUCCUGGUGUAGCGGUGAAAUGCGCAGAUAUCAGGAAGAACACCCGUGGCGAAGGCGGCUCUCUGGGACGGUACUGACGCUGAGACGCGAAAGCGUGGGGAGCGAACAGG
rnacentral:rRNA from 1 species